GUUAUCUUCAUAACACUCCCUCUCGCCAAUUUUUCAUAAUUAUGAAGCGAACAUCAUUAGUCAGAGCAUAAAACUACGUCAAAAAUUCAACUAGGAAUAAAAAAAAAUUUCAUAACAGAAAAUUAAAAACUUGAAUUCUCAGCCAGCGAAGUCAUCAAAAGCCUUCGCAAUGACAUUCCCGAGGCUUGUUAAUCCAGAGAGACGAAACGGAACGAGAGUCGGCAACCUAGUGACCCGUUUCGAGGUACACCACACUAUUUUUACCGUCAACCUGUCUCCCCUGUCGUUGUCGUCGGCAGUGGAAAAAAAAAUGAAUAACAUAAAAAAAGUUUUCACGAGGAAUUAACAAUUGGACCAACGCUGUGCCGGGCUUGGGCCGAGGCAAGCCAAGCCUGGGUCUCCACUGGGGUCAUAGCGUGAGUCUACUGUGGCAUAUGCUGAGAGUGAAACAUUGGAUCAAGCUUGGGAAGAUCAGCCUGGCCCAAGGGUGAGGCCCAGUAUGGGCCCACCAGUAUAAAGCAGGCCUGAUCCAAUCUAAUCUACACCAAAGCCUGACGUCAACCAGACCUUAUGAUUAAACAGGAGGUGAUUGAGAACUGUCUAUUAAUUAUUACAACGUUUAAUUAAUUAUUAAAACGUUUAAUUAGUUAUUAAAUGUUUAAUUACCUAUUGAAAUUAUUAAUUAAUUAUUAAACCGUUUAAUUAAUUAUCAACACUUCAUUUGAUAUAUUAUACACCUGUUGAAAUGUAAAAAUUUUAAAAGGAGAGCAAUUAAUAAGAAAAAAAAUGGAUCAUCAAUAUAACCGAAAGGCGGGUAAUUUUGAAUUGACAAAAACCGAAAAUUUUUUACGCAAGACACGGAGGCACUGACCCACUGAUGCGUUGGGACACUGACGCACUGAGAUACUGAACAAAAAAAUAAGAGAGAGAGAGAGAAAAGCGAAAAACGUUGAAGUUUAAUAAGAGAAUGAGGAUCAUGGAAAGAUUUUUACAAUCGUUCGGAUUGGUGUAGCAGUCUAUGUGUUGAAGUAUAUGAACCAACUGAAAUGGAACAACUAUGUUGAGUGUCGGGAUUAAAAUUUUGGAACAGUUCGACCAUAAUGAAAUAUUUAGAGAGGAAAAUAUUUUAACGGUAAUAAAAUCGCGUUUGAGAAAGAUUUUCAAGGGGAAAAAUUCUUUCGUUAAUAAAAAAAAGUACAAGAAAUGACUGCAAUUCAGCCAAAUCCGUAAUAAUAAUAUUUCUUCAUGAAAUUAAAAUUCUGGGAAAAUUUUUAACUAUUAGCAUCUGAGAAUUGUGAAUUUAGUAUAUUUUUUAAAUAAAAUAAAUUUAGUGAGAGAGACUAAUUCUGCGACAGAACAGACUGGAAAUUAAAAUUAAUACAUAUUUAUUGUAUUUUUCAUUUAUAACAUUGUUAUACAAGUCUGCUAUCAAACACAUUGCAUACAUUAAGUCGUGUGGGAGAUGUCUACUUAAUUAAUGAACUUGGAACUAAUUAACUAUUAGCAUAAAAGAAUUAUUGACUUUUCAAAUAAAUAUAAAAAAUAAUCGACUUCAAUCAAUUUUCCAUAAUUUU